rnacentral:rRNA from 1 species
CACGUGGGUAAUCUGCCCUUGACAUCGGGAUAGCCCGGGGAAACCCGGAGUUAAUACCGAAUAGCCUCCGGAGCCUUCGGGCGCCGGAGAAAGGUAGCUUCGGCCUCUGGUCGAGGAUGAGCCCGCGGCGGAUUAGCUUGUUGGCGGGGUAACGGCCCACCAAGGCGACGAUCCGUAGCUGGUCUGAGAGGACGAUCAGCCACACUGGGACUGAGACACGGCCCAGACUCCUACGGGAGGCAGCAGUGGGGGAAUCUUGCGCUAAAUGUGCGGGAAACCGUGACGCAGCGACGCCGCGUG